GGCCCUAUAGCUCAGUUGGUAGUAGCGAUUGCCUGUUAAGCAAUGUGUCGUAGGUUCAAGUCCUACUGGGGCCG
rnacentral:tRNA from 1 species